rnacentral:rRNA from 1 species
UACGUAGGGUGCGAGCGUUGCCCGGAUUUAUUGGGCGUAAAGGGCGCGUAGGCGGCCACGCACGUCCGUUGUGAAAUCGCCCGGCUCAACUGGGCGGGGUCAGCGGAUACGGCGCGGCUGGAGCAAGCUAGGGGGCAAUGGAAUUCCCGGUGUAGUGGUGGAAUGCGUAGAUAUCGGGAGGAACACCAGUGGCGAAGGCGGUUGCCUGGAGCUUUGCUGACGCUGAUGCGCGAAAGCGUGGGGAGCGAUCCGG